rnacentral:rRNA from 1 species
UACGUAGGGGGCAAGCGUUGUCCGGAAUCAUUGGGCGUAAAGCGCGCGUAGGCGGCCCGGUAAGUCCGUUGUGAAAGUCAAAGGCUCAACCUUUGAAUGCCGACGGAUACUGCCGGGCUAGAGUACGGAAGAGGCGAGUGGAAUUCCUGGUGUAGCGGUGGAAUGCGCAGAUAUCUGGAGGAAUACCGGUGGCGAAGGCGGCAUCCUGGACCGAGAUUGACACUGAUGAGCGAAAGCUAGGGGAGCAAACGGG